AAACUCAGAAUGAAUGACGAUUCCAUGAGGUACAGAUGAGAAAAAUGAAUCACGUAUGCUUCACGGGAAGUGACUUCAUCAUUUCCAACAAGUGGCCAUGGAAGUAGAGUUUGCCAUCACUGGCUGAAAAGAUGUCUGUCACAAAAGAGAGCUGCGCCCAACUGAGGCCACCAGGCCACAUCUCAGAGCCUUCUCUUCCCCAUACUUGAGGACCCCCACUUCCGAGGCCAGAUGACUUCAGGGUUAUAUUGUCUGACCCCCUCAGGAACAGAGAAGGUGCCCAAGGAGGGGGAGAGGACCCACUAAAGUUCAUUAGAAUUGAAGUUAUGUAGGAUGAUUGGCUGGCUCAGUAUAUCUGUGGUGGGUUCUGAACCAGAUCUCAGCCCCCUAUGCCCUCCAGUGCCCUUCCCACGGCACCGGCCCACUUCCUCAUCCUCUAAGAGUCACGUCUCCAUAGCUUCCUGCACUUCCUUGCUCAACAGCCUCACCGAACCUCUACUAGAGUGUGGGUUACUCCUCCAGUGUUCCUUCUUCCAUGCUAGACUGUAAGCUCUCCAAGAAUAGAAAUGGUAUGUAUUCUUCUCUGUAUCCUUCAUUUCUAGCACAUUGUCUGUCUCGAGAAGACAUUCAAAGACUAUCUGUUGGAUGCAAGCAGAAACAAUAAAUAAGGCUCAUCGUCUCUCUCUCUCUUUCCCUUUCCUAAUAGAAGACUCAAAUUUCCUAUAAAUUCCCACACAGAAGAAUGUGUAAAAGCUUGAGCAUCCCAGGGACUGUCCAAAGAUCUCCAGCUAUAACCUUCUAUUUAACUAGGACUGUUACUAUUAUUAUCUAUAUACAGUGUGCCUGAGGUCCUAAGAACAGAGAGAUACUCUUUGGAAGCCAGAAGCCACCUGAGAAAACCACCAUUUUGGUGACUUUUCUCCAAAUGUACCCAAAGGCCUGGGUUCCUGUCAUGUGAUGUUUUUCCCUCCUUCUUAAGGGAAGAGAGGAUAUGAAUAAAGAUCACUAUUCUCAAGCAAGGCAGACCAAAUUCACAAGGAUCUUUCCCAUAAAAUAUCUGCAUAUCUGAACGAAGGAAAAAGGAGUACUGUUCUAAUUUUUUAAUUUCUUUGAAGUACAUCUUUUUUGUAUAAAGAAAUUUGCUCUUUGAUUCCAAAUAAGGCACAAGUAAGUAGAAGAAAGAUUUCUCCAUGAACCCACAAUUCCCACCCUGGGAAGGUGGAAUUAUGGUGCCCCAGAGAUGUCCACAUCCUAAUCCGCAGAGCCCAUGAAUAUGUUACCUUACAUCACAAAAGGGACUCUGUGGAUGGGAUUGGAGUUAAGGACCUUGAGAUGGAGAGAUUAUCCUGGAAUAUCCAGAUGGGCUUGAUGUAGUCACAAUACUCCUCCAAAGCAAACAGCCUUUCUUGGAUGUGACCAGAAGACAGCAAUGUGGCUGGCUCUGAAGAUGGAAAAAGGGGACGUGCAUGAAGGAAUGCAGGCGGCCUCUAUAAACCCCAAAAGGCAAAAAGAUGCAUCCUCUCCUAGAGCCUUCAGAAAGGAAUACGGUCCUCCUGACAUCAGGUCAGUGAGACCCAUGUCAGACUUCUAAACAGCAGCUGGGUGAUAUGUCUGUGUCAUUUUAAAAUUAUUUGCUAUGGCACAAAACAGAAAACUGAUACAGGGCAGUAAUAAAGAGUCAAGGAAGCCCUUCUCAGUGCUGGAGGGAUGGAAUAACCUGUUUGAGCAGGCGCUUUCUGGGCUAUUAGGCUCAGGACAAGCCCCUGGUGUGCCUCAGACCACCAAUUCCUAGCUAAGAAUGAUUGCACUGUGUCCAGAUGCUUCUCUCUUCAGACAGCAGACUGAACGUGGGGUGGGGCCAUCCGAUUAAGGACAUGGGGCAGGGAUCUCACCCACCUCUCUGCCUUGUUCAGUGCCGAUAGGCAUAGAGAAAUGUAUCUUCGUGAAUGAAAGCAAUUUGGACACUACAGGAGACCUAUAAUAAGGGGAGCAUAAAAGUCUUAGAUCUUUAUCAUAUGAUGAGCAGAAAAAGGGAGGUUUUCUCACUAGCCUAUCUGGUCUCAGAAGUCAACAAAUUAGAAUUCUGAAAAGGUGCAUGUUUUGCCUGGGGUCAUCUAGUAAACUAGGGAGAAAAAGAGGCCAGGGGCACAAUUCUUGACCCUUUGCUACCUGCAUUAUAUCAGCCUGCAGUAAGAACUGGAAAAUCCACUAUAGAGGUAGAAGGGAGGCCCAAAGCCCAGACUCCUUAGAGCAUAAACUAGUAAUUUGAGCACAGCAACCUAAUGCAAGAAAAGGUGCAUGCAGUGACCAUGUGCAGAAGCUGUUGAUGAACUCACAGAUGGCCCCUCCAUUGUGUGAUUUCAUCCUGCACUCCCCGUGGGGACAGAGCCCCUUUCUCUGGAGAGGAAAACUAUGCCCAACGUAUGGAUGAGUUAUCCAUGCAGUUCAUGCCAUCAUUCUCUGAAAAGGCAGAGCACUGGAACGGAAAAGAACAGAGGCUUGAAAUUUGGAAGGAGUAUUUGGAGCUUGACUUGACACCACAGGAGAGAGCUGGAAGCGAGCCUUGGCCAGGAACUUGACCUGUGGAAUCCUCAGUUUGCUCCUUAUGAAACAGGGAUAAUAAUGCACGCUUUGCAAAGUGACUGUAAGGAUUUAUUCACUCAGUAAACUAUGAAAUGAAAUUAUACAUAUGCACGGAAUGUCCUACAGCCAAUAUUCCAUAAAAGGUUUCUCACCUGGCCCUUUAUAGAUUUUCCCCUAACAUCAGAAAAGAAAGCUUGAUGAAACACGUGUUGUCUAAGAAAAGGCUUGUAUUUGUGCUGUGCAAAUUCCAAGGAUCAGUGGCCCUGGCCCCCAAAGGGAUGGGCCUGACGCCAGUUUGUACAGGGUCUUAGUCUGUUUCUCUCCCUUUCCCGAAUCCCUGUUCACAGUGAUUGUGGACUCACAGCGCCAUCUCGUGGGAAACUGUGGACUUUCCUUUUCUUUUGCCCAACUAGAAAAUCCAGCAAACACCUCAUCUCUGCCAGACACACAGCCUACAAAGACCUAAAACACCUUUCCUGACUUUACUUAAAAAUAAGCAAAAUGCCUAGCUGAGGACAUGUGCAUGGCCACAACUAAGAAAAGGAAAAGGAGAAGCCCAUUUAGCCUGCCCGGCGAGAUCCCAGGCUGUGUUCCCCGGGGAGCAGGGAGAAGGAGCCUCGGGGAAUACCUGGAGAGGACUCCUGGAGGAGAAGGCAGAGCCUUCUCAGAGAAGAACGAGCCACGGGUGCCAUCCAUUGAACACACCUGGGCUGCAUGCUCUUCUAGAUGCUCUACGUGUACCAACUCAUUUAACCUUCCCAAACACUGAGCACCGCAGGAAAGCUGCUCUCCAACUCCAGGAGGUCUGAAUCCAAGUUCUUAACUACUCAGCGAUGACUGCUGGUUACUGCUAGCUACCAGUCAGUCGCCUGCAGUUUAAGUCAGAGAGAGGCAGCGGCUGAGACGGGCUGUAGUCCACAUUCCCCGACUCCAGAUUCCCAGCUUCCAUAUCAAGAAAAUGCCUUUUGUUCAACUAAGCCACGGCCAACGGACAGGAUAUUUAUAAACCAAGUUGUAAUAGCAAGCAGGUAUAUCCAGCAGACAACCGGCAUUCAGUGGAUAAGUGCUGAAAGAUGAGCGAAUAGGACCAUUCGGAUGACUUAAUAUAGCAUUUUCUCAACAAACGUGGAAGUUUUGUUUUGUUCUGUUCCCCGGGAGCAGCUCUCUGCUGCCAGAGGCCCUCCUUGGUUACCCCUACCAAGUCCACAGCCUGUAUUUCAGACCGAGGUGCAGGAUGGGGGCUCUGCAGGGGGGCUGACCUGUGACUUCAUCUGUCCCGCAUCGACUAACACCACACCUUUCAGUCGAUGUCGUCACCCAGUAAAGCACAGAAUCUUGCCAAGGACCUUGAGGGAAAUUCGUGUUUGAUGGCCCUAAGAAAGUGAUGAAAAUAAAUCUGGAAGAAGGGU